GAAGUUGGAGGGGAGAGAGAGUAAGGGACAGGAAGGGCCUAUGAAAACACAGCCACGUCAAAUAUUGUAAGAGGGAUUCCAGACAGAGGUAAGCAGAAGCAGACGGGAAAGAGGCAAGCAGAAGCAGACGGGAAAGAGGCAAGCAGAAGCAGACGGGAAAGAGGCGUUGGAGAUGGAAAAAUGGAAGACAUUGUUGAAUUUGGAGAGAAGAAGACACUAAUUAAAGCACCAUUGUUUCGGCGGUGAGAUUGAGGAAACAAAGCAAAAUUUGGGGUGCCGUAGGGAUGGUAGUGGAUGUGACUACUAAGCUUUCCGUGAUAGAUGGAUGCGAUGGGAAUGGCUCCAAAAUUUCGCGUAAAAUCCCCAAUAACAGUCUGCCUGCCUGCUUCGGAGGAGCUCGUCAUUAAGAGAGGAGGAGGAAGGAUGGCAGAGGACAAAAAUGUAGUUCGCUUUAAGACCCGAUUGAUUGGGUUUAGAGCAAAGCUUUCCCACUAAGAGA